GAUGAACGCUGGCGGCGUGCCUAAUACAUGCAAGUCGAGCGAACAGAUGAGGAGCUUGCUCCUCUGACGUUAGCGGCGGACGGGUGAGUAACACGUGGAUAACCUACCUAUAAGACUGGGAUAACUUCGGGAAACCGGAGCUAAUACCGGAUAAUAUAUUGAACCGCAUGGUUCAAUAGUGAAAGACGGUUUUGCUGCCACUUAUAGAUGGAUCCGCGCCGCAUUAGCUAGUUGGUAAGGUAACGGCUUACCAAGGCGACGAUGCGUAGCCGACCUGAGAGGGUGAUCGGCCACACUGGAACUGAGACACGGUCCAGACUCCUACGGGAGGCAGCAGUAGGGAAUCUUCCGCAAUGGGCGAAAGCCUGACGGAGCAACGCCGCGUGAGUGAUGAAGGUCUUCGGAUCGUAAAACUCUGUUAUUAGGGAAGAACAAAUGUGUAAGUAACUAUGCACGUCUUGACGGUACCUAAUCAGAAAGCCACGGCUAACUACGUG
rnacentral:rRNA from 1 species